CCAAGAAAAGCCUCUAAGCUUCAGAUAACUAGGAACCGUACCCCAAACCGACACAGGUGGUUGGGUAGAGAAUACCAAGGCGCUUGAGAGAACUCGGGUGAAGGAACUAGGCAAAAUGGCACCGUAACUUCGGGAGAAGGUGCGCCGGUGAGGGUGAAGCAUUUACUGCGUAAGCCCGUGCCGGUCGAAGAUACCAGGCCGCUGCGACUGUUUAUUAAAAACACAGCACUCUGCAAACACGAAAGUGGACGUAUAGGGUGUGACGCCUGCCCGGUGCCGGAAGGUUAAUUGAUGGGGUUAGCUAACGCGAAGCUCUUGAUCGAAGCCCCGGUAAACGGCGGCCGUAACUAUAACGGUCCUAAGGUAGCGAAAUUCCUUGUCGGGUAAGUUCCGACCUGCACGAAUGGCGUAACGAUGGCGGCGCUGUCUCCACCCGAGACUCAGUGAAAUUGAAAUCGCUGUGAAGAUGCAGUGUAUCCGCGGCUAGACGGAAAGACCCCGUGAACCUUUACUAUAGCUUUGCACUGGACUUUGAAUUUGCUUGUGUAGGAUAGGUGGGAGGCUUUGAAGCGAGGACGCCAGUUCUUGUGGAGCCAAUCUUGAAAUACCACCCUGGCAACUUUGAGGUUCUAACUCUGGUCCGUUAUCCGGAUCGAGGACAGUGUAUGGUGGGUAGUUUGACUGGGGCGGUCUCCUCCUAAAGAGUAACGGAGGAGUACGAAGGUGCGCUCAGACCGGUCGGAAAUCGGUCGUAGAGUAUAAAGGCAAAAGCGCGCUUGACUGCGAGACAGACACGUCGAGCAGGUACGAAAGUAGGUCUUAGUGAUCCGGUGGUUCUGUAUGGAAGGGCCAUCGCUCAACGGAUAAAAGGUACUCCGGGGAUAACAGGCUGAUACCGCCCAAGAGUUCAUAUCGACGGCGGUGUUUGGCACCUCGAUGUCGGCUCAUCACAUCCUGGGGCUGAAGCCGGUCCCAAGGGUAUGGCUGUUCGCCAUUUAAAGUGGUACGCGAGCUGGGUUUAGAACGUCGUGAGACAGUUCGGUCCCUAUCUGCCGUGGACGUUUGAGAUUUGAGAGGGGCUGCUCCUAGUACGAGAGGACCGGAGUGGACGAACCUCUGGUGUUCCGGUUGUCACGCCAGUGGCAUCGCCGGGUAGCUAUGUUCGGAAUAGAUAACCGCUGAAAGCAUCUAAGCGGGAAACUAGCCUCAAGAUGAGAUCUCACUGGGACCUUGAGUCCCCUGAAGGGCCGUCGAAGACUACGACGUUGAUAGGUGGGGUGUGUAAGCGUUGUGAGGCGUUGAGCUAACCCAUACUAAUUGCCCGUGAGGCUUGACCG
rnacentral:rRNA from 1 species